GAUGAACGCUGGCGGCGUGCCUAAUACAUGCAAGUCGAGCGAACGGACGAGAAGCUUGCUUCUCUGAUGUUAGCGGCGGACGGGUGAGUAACACGUGGAUAACCUACCUAUAAGACUGGGAUAACUUCGGGAAACCGGAGCUAAUACCGGAUAAUAUUUUGAACCGCAUGGUUCAAAAGUGAAAGUCGGUCUUGCUGUCACUUAUAGAUGGAUCCGCGCUGCAUUAGCUAGUUGGUAAGGUAACGGCUUACCAAGGCAACGAUGCAUAGCCGACCUGAGAGGGUGAUCGGCCACACUGGAACUGAGACACGGUCCAGACUCCUACGGGAGGCAGCAGUAGGGAAUCUUCCGCAAUGGGCGAAAGCCUGACGGAGCAACGCCGCGUGAGUGAUGAAGGUCUUCGGAUCGUAAAACUCUGUUAUUAGGGAAGAACAUAUGUGUAAGUAACUGUGCACAUCUUGACGGUACCUAAUCAGAAAGCCACGGCUAACUACGUG
rnacentral:rRNA from 1 species